CCUUUGUCGCUAAGAUUCG
rnacentral:snRNA from 1 species